rnacentral:rRNA from 1 species
UACGUAGGGGGCGAGCGUUGUCCGGAGUUACUGGGCGUAAAGGGCAUGCAGGCGGUCCGACACGUUUUGUGUGACAGCGGGUGGCUUAACUACCCGAGGAUACGAAAGACGGUUGGACUUGAGGACUCGAGAGGGACACGGAAUUCCGGGUGGAGUGGUGAAAUGCGUAGAGAUCCGGAGGAACACCGAAGGCGAAGGCAGUGUCCUGGCGAGUGACUGACGCUGAGGUGCGAAAGCCAGGAGAGCGAACGGG